rnacentral:rRNA from 1 species
UUUUUGUAUUUAAUAUAAAGUCUAAUCUGCCCCCUGAUAAUUUAUUAAAGGGCUGCAGUAUUUUGACUGUACAAAGGUAGCAUAAUCAUUUGUCUCUUAAUUGGUGACUAGUAUGAAAGAUUGGAUGAAAUAUAGACUGUCUCAUUAUAAUGAAUAAAAUUUAAUUUUUUAGUAAAAAAGCUAAAAUAGUUUUAAAAGACGAGAAGACCCUAUAGAGUUUAAUAAUUAUUUUUAUAUAGAAUAAAAUAUAAAAAUUUAAAUUUAAAUGAAAGUAAUUAUUUUGUUGGGGUGAUAGAAAAAUUAAAUUAACUUUUUUUAAAGAUAUACAUUAAUAAAUGAAUAAAUGAUCCAUUAAUAAUGAUUAUAAGAAAAAAUUACCUUAGGGAUAACAGCGUAAUUUUUUUUUUUAGGCCAAAUAAGAAAAAGAGUUUGCGACCUCGAUGUUGGAUUAAGAUAAAAUUUAAAUGUAAAAGUUUAAAGUUUUGAUCUGUUCGAUCAUUAAAA